GAUGAACGCUAGCUACAGGCUUAACACAUGCAAGUCGAGGGGAAACGACAUUGGAAGCUUGCUUCCGAUGGGCGUCGACCGGCGCACGGGUGAGUAACGCGUAUCCCACCUGCCCAUCACUUGGGGAUAACCUUGCGAAAGUAAGACUAAUACCCAAUGAUAUCUCUAGACGACAUCUGAACGGGAUUAAAGAUUUAUCGGUGAUGGAUGGGGAUGCGUCUGAUUAGCUUGUUGGCGGGGUAACGGCCCACCAAGGCGACGAUCAGUAGGGGUUCUGAGAGGAAGGUCCCCCACAUUGGAACUGAGACACGGUCCAAACUCCUACGGGAGGCAGCAGUGAGGAAUAUUGGUCAAUGGGCGAGAGCCUGAACCAGCCAAGUAGCGUGCAGGAUGACGGCUCUAUGGGUUGUAAACUGCUUUUAUAAGGGAAUAAAGUGAGUCUCGUGAGACUUUUUGCAUGUACCUUAUGAAUAAGGACCGGCUAAUUCCGUGCCAGCCGCCGCAGUAA
rnacentral:rRNA from 1 species